CCUACGGGUGGCUGCAGUGGGGAGUAUUGGACAAUGGGCGAAAGCCUGAUCCAGCCAUGCCGCGUGUGUGAAGAAGGCCUUCGGGUUGUAAAGCACUUUCAGUGGGGAAGAAAGCCUUGGGGCUAAUACCCUCGAGGAAGGACAUCACCCACAGAAGAAGCACCGGCUAACUCCGUGCCAGCAGCCGCGGUAAUACGGAGGGUGCGAGCGUUAAUCGGAAUUACUGGGCGUAAAGCGCGCGUAGGCGGUCUGAUAAGCCGGUUGUGAAAGCCCCGGGCUCAACCUGGGAACGGCAUCCGGAACUGGCAGGCUAGAGUGCAGGAGAGGAAGGUAGAAUUCCCGGUGUAGCGGUGAAAUGCGUAGAGAUCGGGAGGAAUACCAGUGGCGAAGGCGGCCUUCUGGACUGACACUGACGCUGAGGUGCGAAAGCGUGGGUAGCAAACAGGAUUAGAUACCCGUGUAGUC
rnacentral:rRNA from 1 species